UGAGUGACAGGCAUUGCUGCCUAGAUGUCUCUCUCUCUCUCUCCUAUGGGCACUGCGUCUGCCUACAUUAACCAUAAUCCUCUUCUGCUUACGUCACUUAUCCGGAUGUGAUGGUAACCCUGUUGUAUUCAUCUGUUUAACCUUUUCCUGUCCCAGCUCCCGCCCUUAGCCUAUAAAAGGUGUGAUUAUUUUUCUGAAUAAACCGGAGGCUUGAUUGGGUUAACAUCAACUUGCCUUCGUCUCUUUUUGUCUCCCCUAUGUCUUUUAUUUAAUCCCUGUUUCCCCUCCAGGAGUUCUGAACUUGUUGAUCUGCAGGCCGGAUCAAGUGGCGCUCAGCAUGGGAGCUCCUGGCACGGAGAAGUUAACGAGGGAGCCGUUCAAGAGACAGCCGGCUUAAACCGAAAGUGAAAGCAAAUUGAACCAGAGACCUCGGCCGAGGAAUGAGUAAACUGAAUCAAGGAUUAAAGCUUAAAGCAACAGGACAUUAAAUCAAGUGCCGAGACCUGCGCAGACGACUACCCAACGUCCUGCCCGAGUCACGGUGACACAUCUCCCUGGAGCCUUAUGCUGCUUAACCAGCCUUCUUGAGCCACACCACACCCAUGGUGGAUUUUGACCCCUGCCAAACAGACUGCAACUGCUGACAGCCAUGCACGGAACCCCAUGACUGCGGAAGAGGCUCUUCUCGGUCUGGAGGAACAUACGCCAGCCAAAUAGACUGCAUCCAGUGUUAUUCAAGGCAUGCUCCAAGACACAGGAGAAUGACUUCAUACAGAGACACCAACAAAUGGCUGUCAACCCCUUCUCCUUGAUUUUGGGGGGGGAGUUUUUCCCUUACCUAGUCCCCCUUUUGGGUCCCCUAGCUGACCUAUUGUUUCUCAUUUCUGUGAGUCUUGUAUUUUUCAGAGGAUUAUGAUGUUCAUUAUUAACCGGAUAGACGCAUUUAUGGCAAAGCCCAUUCAGGUACACUAUCAUCAGCUGGAGUUGGCAGAUCAACAAACCUACAGGGAAGGAAUUCCCACGAGUGGCCCAUAUGAUGAUGCGGCCUGACUGCCCUGGGGCAAUGGACAGGCAGUCAGAGACGGGCAACUAGGACAUGCAUGUUAAUUCCAACGGCCACCUAAGACAGGCACAGGACCAACUGCUGUUCUGCAAGCCCAUGACAGGUAAGGCCUGGUUGGGUUCAUGCAAUGAGGUCCUUGACCUAAGACAGACGCUGUCCUCACAGGGCCUGCCAUACUCUUAAUUAAAUAAUAUAAAAAGGGAGGAGAUGUAGGGAACCGAGUGACAGGCAUUGCUGCCUAGAUGUCUCUCUCUCUCUCCUAUGGGCACUGCGUCUGCCUACAUUAACCAUAAUCCUCUUCUGCUUACAUCACUUAUCCGGAUGUGAUGGUAACCCUGUUGUAUUCAUCUGUUUAACCUUUUCCUGUCCCAGCUCCCGCCCUUAGCCUAUAAAAGGUGUGAUUAUUUUUCUGAAUAAACCGGAGGCUUGAUUGGGUUAACAUCAACUUGCCUUCGUCUCUUUUUGUCUCCCCUAUGUCUUUUAUUUAAUCCCCGUUUCCCCUCAAGGAGUUCUGAACUUGUUGAUCUGCAGGCCGGAUCAACAGUACCCAGUGCUGAUCACAUAGUAUCAUGAUGUAAAGUCCAGCAAUACUAUUAUUCUUUGUUCGGAGUGAUUUUAGCUUGCUUUUGUUUGUUUAAUCUUAACAGACAUGAAGAUAUGGAUAACUGCAUGUAUGUUUAAGUGUACAGGAUUGUUAACCAUAUUACUAAGUUUUUGUUGGAUAGUGGAACAGAAUUGUUUGCAGUCUCACUGUUUGAAUGUCCACUUUGUAUGCUUCACUUUUGUAACUUGAACAACUAUUUGUAAGAGGAAACAUCUAACUAUCAACUAGUGAUUUCUUACGGUUUAUUUUUUCUUUGAAAUUCUGUAUUACUUCUACCCUUUUUCUCUUUUGUUGUUUCUUUAAAUAAAAUUUUUUAAAAUGCACUUGAAAAAAA